CCUUCCGUGAUGAUUUUAUCAAAAUGACUUUCGUUCUUCUGACAUUGCUGAAGCCAUAUUCAGUUGCUGAGGGGG